CGGGGACCACCACUGGGAAACGGUGGCUAAUACCGGAUAUGCCGUGAGGUACAAGAUUUAUUGCCUAGAGAUGAGCUCGCGUCUGAUUAGCUAGUUGGUGUGGUAAGAGCGCACCUAGGCGACGAUCAGUAGCUGGUCUGAGAGGAUGAUCAGCCACACUGGGACUGAGACACGGCCCAGACUCCUACGGGAGGCAGCAGUGGGGAAUUUUCCGCAAUGGGCGAAAGCCUGACGGAGCAAUACCGCGUGAGGGAGGAAGGCUCUUGGGUUGUAAACCUCUUUUCUCAAGGAAUAAAAAAGUGAAGGUACUUGAGGAAUAAGCAUCGGCUAACUCCGUGCCAGCAGCCGCGGUAAUACGGAGGAUGCAAGCGUUAUCCGGAAUGAUUGGGCGUAAAGGGUCCGCAGGUGGCAUUGAAAGUCUGCUGUUAAAGAGUGAGGCUUAACCUCAUAAAAGCAGUGGAAACUACAAGGCUAGAGUGCGUUCGGGGUAGAAGGAAUUCCUGGUGUAGCGGUGAAAUGCGUAUAGAUCAGGAAGAACACCGGUGGCGAAAGCGUGCUACUAGGCCGUAACUGACACUGAGGGACGAAAGCUAGGGGAGCGAAUGGAUUAGAUACCCAGGUAG
rnacentral:rRNA from 1 species